CUUUUCACUAGGAGCAGUAUGUCUCAGAGACACGGUGAAAUGGUAGACACUUAACUCCAAAGCCACCCCUUUUAUCUGAAUCUAUAGCAUUGUUUUCUCACCUCUUCUGUCCUAGUAACAGGAUGAAAUGGUAACAGUUGGUAAAAGCUAGCUUGCUUCUUGAAAGCUGAGCCAAAACUACCAAGCCCCAGCUGCCUCUUACUCUUCUGCUUCUUACAUCCAAUAAUACCUAUUUUACCCCAGCUAAUGGAAAACACAGCCAUCACAAUUCUCUGUCCCAGAUAAUGGAAAGGUGUCUAUAGACCCUCAAUACUUGCCUUACUACACAUCUCACAAUAGUCAGGGACAAAGAAAAAUGUGGACUUUCAAAUGAUGGCCACCUCUGGUCUAGCUAUACUGUUAUGGUGUUGGGUAUUUUGUUAUAGGUUAUCUUAUGAGUUCUGUCAUUCAGGAUAAGUGAUAUACCUUUUUACUUAAGCACUACCCCGAUGUGCACAGGCACCCACACACAUGCUCAUGCCCAGUAUAAGCACAGCAGACCUGUAUUAGCUCGCUUUCAGCUAGCAUCACCAAAAGGAUUCCGAGCAGAACGAGAAGAAUUGUAAAUCAAUCUGCCCAUUGACUAAGCAUCUUUGAGAAUGAUAACCUCUGAUAAAUAUCCUCUUAUUCUAUCCAUGCUGGUUUGGCUGGGAUAGUUAAUUUUCUUCAAAUAGCAGCUGGCAUGGGGCUGUCUUGGAUUUAUGCUGAAAACAGCAUUUACAAUACAGGCAUGUUUUGGUUAUUGCUGGGUAAGCACUGCUCAGCAUGAAGGUUUUGUUCUGCUCCUCACCCCACCCCACCAGUGAGAAGGGUGAGGGUGAACAAAGAGUUGGAAGGGGACACAGCCAGGACAGCUGACCCCAGCUGACCCAAGGGACAUUCCAUACCUUAUGAUGUCAUGCUCAGCAUAAAGAGCUGGGGAAAAGAGAAGAAAGUGCGGAUGUUUGGAGUGGUGGAAUUUUGUCUUCCCAAGUAACCACUAUACAUGAUGGGCCCCUGCUUUCCUGGGGAUGGCUGAAUGCCUGCCUGCUGAUGGGAAGUGGCACAGCUUAACCCUGUAGACAAAAGAAGAUUCUUCAUGUGAAGCAUUUGAACAGAAGUCUAUGAAGCUUGUGCCUUAAGUUUCCAGCAGCUCCUUGGCUGUCCGGCUGCGCUUCCUCUCCCAGCGAGCCCUCUGCUCUUCCACAGUGUUUGCUCCAGCCAUAAACAGCAGGGGCGAGUCACUCAUGACAACCUCAGGGGUGAUAUACAGAAAGGUAACUGACCCUGAAGAGCCAAGAGAGAUGGACAAACAACAAAAGAAUAACUUAUGGUGCAGGGUACAUCAACCAGAGGAGCAGUGUAAGAAAGACCAAACCAUGAAAGCAAAAGCAGUACAUUACAAUAUGUCUAUGAAUAACUCUCAAGCACGCAAUCCCACUCACAAACCACUGCUUCCUGUGCUUUGCCCCAUUAUUUGUGCAAAAUUCGCUGUAAGCCCAAGGAAGUCAGUGGGUGGAAGAAGUACUGUGGGUAGGAGCAGAAAGCAGCCAUAAGAUUUGUCUUGGGGAGGAAACAGAAAGAAAGAGCACAUUCUUGCUUUUUUUCCCAUGGAGGUUUCCAAGAAACAAGUGGUUUGCAUUGUCAUUUUCUAACAGUAUUUUGUGGUUUGAGAUGAGAGAAACUCAGUAACUGCUGUGAAUCACACUAUCCACUUAGUGACCAGUUUCACUGCUGCUCUUCUCUUCUGCAAGAGCAUCAUGUUUUGUUACAGAGUAAAACACUCCCUCUUUUACUGCCCCUCCUCAGAGAAAGACGCAUGUGUUAGCUCAGCACCAGUUAAAUAUUGCUCUGCCUUUUGAUCAAAAGGCAGCGCAGGUUGUUACACACUCGCCAUGGCACGGAGCCUGGAGUUUCUCUGGAAGCUGAACUACCUCCACUAAAGUUCAUCCCUGUGUGGAUGAGAUAUACCAAUACAUGAAGAUGUGUCACCUUAGGGAAGGAAAUUUGUCAAAUACAGCCUUCCAGAGACAUUUGAUACCUAAACAAAUGCCUGAAACAAGUUUCACAUCAAAUGAAUAUCAAGACUUGUUUAAUGAGCAGAAGUCUGGAUAGCGAGGGGCAUAGGCAGCAUUUUAUAGCAGCAGAAGGUUCUCUAGAGGUUUAUGCUCAGAUUCAUUCAUGACACAACCACAGGCCUAGCUAAGGCCAUGUCUCGGUCAAACAGGGCAGACCCAGCACCCCUGCAGGUAAUACCACACCAGAGCUUAGUGAGAGCAUGCAGAAGUACUCACCAGCGACAAACUAAAAAGCUACCACUCACAGAGCACCUUUAGCCAGGGUAGGUUGCAGACAUUAUUUUCAUUUUGAGGCCAAAUUUCUUUUA